rnacentral:lncRNA from 1 species
GAGUCUGCGCUAAGUAUAGAUAUAUCGAGAAUUUUAUCACGGUGUUGUUUACAAAGCGAAAGAAGCACGUCAUAUUAGAAUUCUAAACGAAUCAAACCGACAGUUUUACCACACAAACACAGCAACACAAUUCUUUAAUACAAAACAAACAACAAAUCAACAAAUAUCAUACAAUGAAGUAAUGAUUAAUUUUGUAUUAAUGAGUGAUUUUUAUGAGCAGCAUCUCUUUAAUUUAAAUGUUAUGAAUAAAAACAAUCAAAACACAAUGCAUGUAAAAAAAGAAUAUAUUGAAAAACCGGUAUACAAGUCCAUAAAACAGCAACCCAACAAAUAAAAAACAUGGAAAAUAAAUAAAAAUUUAAAAACUUGGAUUAAAUCAAAAGUGAAAAUAUAUAGGAUUAAACUGAAACAAACGUGAUUAAACUCGGUAUAAAAAUAAGGAGACCUUGUAUGAGUGCCAAUGUCCAUCAGAGACCAAAUAAGGUGGAUGUAAGUCUUGUCUGAAAUCAUGAAAUGAUCUACAUUGUUAAAAUUACUGUUAUGAUAAAGUUCAAAUAAUCAACAGUUUAAAAAUUAUCAUAUCUAAAAUGGCACUAAAAACAUUAUUUGUUAUAAAGUCUUUCAAAAAGCUUGUCAUACAUUAUUAAGCAGCCCUUUAUACAUUCAUGUACAAAAAAAACAUAUUUAAAAAAAAAAAUUGAUAAAAUAAAAUUUGAUGUUAAAUGGACAAUGAUUAGACAUGGUUGUGAAUGAGUUAAAGAAAAUCAAAUUACACUUGCAUUCCAUGUACAUUUGAAAUACUAAAACAACCUUCAUGGACAUACUCAUUACAUAUAUAUAUAUAUACACACAAAAUGUGAUCCAAGUUUUUUGAGAUUUAUGAUAAAAAAAGGUUAAAAUGUGAAGUAACAUGAGGUGUGAUGGUAGAAAUAGGUUUCAAUAUGACGUAGUUUGAGUUCAGAGUUAUUUCCCUUAACUGUUAUGCAAAGAUGUACCAGCUGAUUGCCUUUCCUAUUUGACUAACCAAAUUGAAACAUGUGGUACAAACAAGGCUUUUGUGCCAAUCUUUCCAACAUGGAGUAAAAGUUAAAUAACUCCUGCUUAAAUUGUGUCAAUCUAAAACUAUCUAUACAUGUACAUCAACUAUCUAAACUUCAGGGCAGUGUUUUGCUAUGAUGAAACAUAUAAAACAAUGAUAAUUUUACCAUUGAAACUCAGGAUAUAUUUGAUUUAUAUAAAUUUUAAUCAAAAUUACUAUGAUUUAAACUAUGAAAACAAUAAUACUAAAAUACCAUAAUGAUUGUAAUAUGUUUUUUAAAUUUCCACCAAAUGUUGAUUUUCUCUACUUUUUCAAUACAGCCAAAAAAUAUAACAUCAACAUCAAAACCAACUUCUAUUAAAUUGAAGUGCAAUCUUAAAAAAUAUAUGGAUGAUUUUAACAAUAAUACAAAUUUGAAAGAAGAAAUGAAAUUAGUCUUAUACAAUGACGUGUUAAUAAUGAGAUAUGAUAAAAAGAUGAUUAAUAUUUGAUAGUUGUGAAGGAAUAAAAGAUAUAAAAGUGAACAUUGCAUUUAACAUCUUUGUUUUAUUUACCGUAUUAUAAAGGUCUAAUAGUGUUUUAAAAAUAAUUUUAGAAAUAUAAUUAAAAUUCAUACAAAAUGAUUUUAAAAGUCUUGAUUGAAAUACCCUCCCAUGAAUAAUAAUCUUAACCUUAUAACCAUACUACAAUUCUAUCCAAUUUUUUUUUAAAUAUUAUUAAUCUAUAAUCUAAUAAAUGUAUCUCUAUAUUUGAAUUAAACUUAUAUUAAAUAUUUCUUCUUUCCAAAGUUUGGAUAAGGUUAAGGAUAUACACCAAUUACAAUACACUGCUUGUGAAUCAAACAGAAAUUUGACAAAUAGUGCAAAAUAAACAUGAAACAUGUGUGGGGUACAAGUGUACUUAUAAAUCACAGCUCCCGAUGAGCCAGUCAUCUCCAUACAGAGUAUGACUGAAACAGAAUCUUUUGCUUGAAGGAAGUAAUCAUUAUUAUCAUAAAAAGUCAUCUUUUUGUUGCAUAUAAAUUUUUUUGAUACCAUUUUUGUUUUGUUCAUUUGAAUCGCUUUAAAAUCUAUUGACAUGAGGCAGAGUAGUUUAUAUAAAUCAAAUUUCUUUUAAUUUGACAAUUUGUUAUUUAUUUACAGUCAGUGUAACAAACAUGUCUAUAACCUCCAAGGAAUGUAUUGACAAAAUUUGAAAUUCUCUAUUAGCAGCAAAAAAGUCUUGAUUUUUCAUAAUAGUCCAUUAAAUUUGGGUUUCACUAAUAUUUUUAUUAUGUUAAUUAUACACUUAUUUGUGAAUUUUAUUUCCAUUUUAGAUAUUGUAUCUCUUUUAUCAUUUUUUAUUUUUAUUUUAUCAAUCUUUUAUAAUAUAUCAAUCUUAUUUUUACUUGUAUUUUUUAUCAUUUUUUUUUACAUUUUUUAUGACUUUUUACAUAAAACAACAAUUAUCUCCCUUUGGCAGCAGACUAUCACAGAUCAUUGUUUUCCUAUUUCAGUUUAACACAGCCACAUUUUGAUGAAGCAGAACCAAUAGAUAAUACAUCUAUACAGGGUUAUAUAUAUUUAUAUAUAUAAACAUUUUUCAUGUUCAUGAAAACUUCACAUAUACAUAAAACAGAAAAUUGGUGCAUCUUAUAAUACAGGAAUUUAGAGAAAAUACAUUCCCAAAUGGUUUCAUAACUAUACGUAAAAAAAAAAAAAAAAUUAUUGCAUGUUUUAGGAAUUUCUAUAAGCAUCCUGUUUUCCUAUCUAUCUUACAAUAGCAAACUAGGUAUAUUUAUAAUGGAUGUAAUAUAAUUCCUUUAAAAGGGGAAAUAACUCAUUCACUCUUUAUCCUAUAAAGAUCAUUGUGUCAAACACUUUUGAUAUUUGAAUGUUAUUAAUGAAUUUUGACGUAAUUUUGUUUUUUUCUAGAAUUAACACAGUAAGGUGUAUAUAUAUAAUAAAAAUGUCACACAUAUACUCAGCAGUAAAUAAUCUUAACAAAACAAUAUUCUUUCUUUUUGCUUUAAAAUGGAAAAGCAUAUUCAUUAUUAGAUUAAAACUAGGCCAAUAUACUGGUACUAUAAAAUGACAUAUACUUUUCUUUUCUUUUUGAUAAUUCUUCUAUUUCUAUAGUUAUUAUUUUUUUUUUUUUUUU